GCUGAAUGUGGGGAUAAUUUAUCUCCGUGUUGUAGCUAACGCGUUAAGCACUCCGCCUGGGGACUACGGUCGCAAGACUAAAACUCAAAGGAAUUGACGGGGACCCGCACAAGCGGUGGAGCAUGUGGUUUAAUUCGAUGCAACGCGAAAAACCUUACCACUCCUUGACAUGGAGAUUAGAUCCUUCUUAACAGAAGGGCGCAGUUCGGCUGGAUCUCGCACAGGUGCUGCAUGGCUGUCGUCAGCUCGUGUCGUGAGAUGUUGGGUUAAGUCCCGCAACGAGCGUAACCCUCACCCUUAGUUGCCAGCGGGUAAUGCCGGGGACUUUAAGGGAACUGCCAGUGGUAAGCUGGAGGAAGGUGGGGAUGAUGUCAAGUCAGCAUGGCCCUUAUGGGGUGGGCUACACACGUGCUACAAUGGUGACUACAAUAGGUUGCAAUGCCGUAAGGCUGAGCUAAUCCGUCAAAAGUCAUCUUAGUUCGGAUUGUCCUCUGCAACUCGAGGGCAUGAAGCAGGAAUCGCUAGUAAUCGUGGAUCAGCAUGCCACGGUGAAUACGUUCUCGGGUCUUGUACACACUGCCCGUCACGCCAUGGGAAUUGGCUUAACUCGAAGCUGGUGCGCUAACCGAAAGGAAGCAGCCAU
rnacentral:rRNA from 1 species